rnacentral:rRNA from 1 species
GCCCGCAAAUUGACACCGUAACUUCGGAAGAAGGUGUGCCCUAUUAGUGUGAAGUGAACAACGGAGCAUGAAUGGGUUGCAAAAAAUCGGUGGCUGCGACUGUUUAUUAAAAACACAGCACUCUGCAAACACGAAAGUGGACGUAUAGGGUGUGACGCCUGCCCGGUGCUGGAAGAUUAAAUGAUGGGGUGCAAGCUCUUGAUUGAAGUCCCAGUAAACGGCGGCCGUAACAAUAACGGUCCUAAGGUAGCGAAAUUCCUUGUCGGGUAAGUCCCGACCUGCACGAAUGGCGUAACGAUGGCCACACUGUCUCCUCCUGAGACUCAGCGAAGUUGAAAUGUUUGUGAUGAUGCAAUCUCCCCGCGGAAAGACGGAAAGACCCCAUGAACCUUUACUGUAGCUUUGUAUUGGACUUUGAACAGAUCUGUGUAGGAUAGGUGGGAGGCUUUGAAGCAGGGUCGCUAGAUCUUGUGGAGCCAACGUUGAAAUACCACCCUGGUGUGUUUGAGGUUCUAACCUAGGUCCAUUAUCUGGAUCGGGGACAGUGCAUGGUAGGCAGUUUGACUGGGGCGGUCUCCUCCCAAAGCGUAACGGAGGAGUUCGAAGGUACGCUAGUUACGGUCGGACAUCGUGACGAUAGUGCAAUGGCAUAAGCGUGCUUAACUGCGAGACUGACAAGUCGAGCAGAUGCGAAAGCAGGACAUAGUGAUCCGGUGGUUCUGUAUGGAAGGGCCAUCGCUCAACGGAUAAAAGGUACUCUGGGGAUAACAGGCUGAUACCGCCCAAGAGUUCAUAUCGACGGCGGUGUUUGGCACCUCGAUGUCGGCUCAUCUCAUCCUGGGGCUGUAGCCGGUCCCAAGGGUAUGGCUGUUCGCCAUUUAAAGAGGUACGUGAGCUGGGUUUAAAACGUCGUGAGACAGUUUGGUCCCUAUCUUCCGUGGGCGCUGCAGAUUUGAGGAAGCCUGCUCCUAGUACGAGAGGACCGGAGUGGACACACCUCUGGUGUAUCGGUUGUCACGCCAGUGGCAUUGCCGAGUAGCUAAGUGUGGAAGAGAUAACCGCUGAAAGCAUCUAAGCGGGAAACUCGUUUCAAGAUGAGAUCUGCCGGGGCCUCGAGCCCCCUGAAGAGUCGUUCAAGACCAGGACGUUGAUAGGUCGGGUGUGGAAGCGCAGUAAUGCGUUAAGCUAACCGAUACUAAUUGCUCGUGCGGCUUGACCCU